UACGGGGGGGGUAAGCGUUGUUCGGAAUUACUGGGCGUAAAGGGCUCGUAGGCGCCAACUAAGUCAUACGUGAAAUCCCUCAGCUUAACUGGGGAACUGCGUGUGAUAGCUGGAUGGCUUGGAUUGGGAGAGGGAUGCGGAAUUCCAGGGUGUAGCGGUGAAAUGCGUAGAGAUCGGAGGAACACCGGUGGCGAAGGCGGCAUCCUGGACCAAUAUUGACGCUGAGGAGCGGAAAAGCUAGGGGAGCAAACGGGG
rnacentral:rRNA from 1 species